rnacentral:rRNA from 1 species
GUUCGAGCGCGAAAAGGGCACUGAGUAGAGCGGCGCACGGGUGCCGUAACACGUGGGUAAUCUCGCCCUUGAGUCGGGAACAACCUUCCGAAAGGUUGGCUAAUGCCCGGUAAGCUUACGACGACCUCGGUCGUUGUCGAGAAAAGUAGGCCACUGUUUACAAGCUUACACUUGAGGAUCGAGCCCGCGGCCCAUCAGCUCAGUUCGGCGGGGUCAAUGGCCCGCCAAGGCUACGACGGGUAGCUCGGUCCGAGAGGACGAUCAGCCACACUGGAACUCGAGACACGGUCCAGACUCCUACGGGAGGCAGCAGUGGGGAAUUUUCCAAAUGGGGCGAAAGGCCUGAUGGAGCAACGCCGA